rnacentral:rRNA from 1 species
GAUGAACGCUGGCGGCGUGCCUAAUACAUGCAAGUCGAGCGAACGGACGAGAAGCUUGCUUCUCUGAUGUUAGCGGCGGACGGGUGAGUAACACGUGGAUAACCUACCUAUAAGACUGGGAUAACUUCGGGAAACCGUAGCUAAUACCGGAUAAUAUUUUGAACCGCAUGGUUCAAAAGUGAAAGACGGUCUUGCUGUCACUUAUAGAUGGAUCCGCGCUGCAUUAGCUAGUUGGUAAGGUAACGGCUUACCAAGGCAACGAUGCAUAGCCGACCUGAGAGAGUGAUCGGCCACACUGGAGCUGCGACCCGGUCCAGAAUCCUUCGGGACGCCGCUGUAGGGAAACUUCCGCAAAGGGCGAAAGCCUGCCGGAGCGACGCCGCGUGAGUGAUGAAGGUCUUCGGAUCGUAAAGCUCUGUUAUUAGGGAAGAACAUAUGUGUAAGUAACUGUGCACAUCUUGACGGUACCUAAUCAGAAAGCCUCGGCUAACUACGU